rnacentral:rRNA from 1 species
CACCGCCCGUCACAUCACGAAAGUGGGCCGCACUAGAAGCCGGUAUGCCAACCCGCAAGGGAGGUAGCCGUCCAAGGUAUGGCUCAUGAUUGGGGUG